GAUGAACGCUGACAGAAUGCUUAACACAUGCAAGUCAACUUGAACUUCGGUUUGGGUGGCGGACGGGUGUGUACCGCGUAAAGAACUUGCCUCACAGCUAGGGACAACAUUUGGAAACGAAUGCUAAUACCUGAUAUUAUGAUUAUAUGGCAUCGUAUAAUUAUGAAAGCUAUAUGCGCUGUGAGAGAGCUUUGCGUCCCCUUAGCUAGUUGGAGAGGUAACAGCUCACCAAGGCGAUGAUGGGUAGCCGGCCUGGGACGGUGAUCUGCCACAAGGGGACGGGGACACGACCCUUACUGAUACGGGAGGCAGCAGUGGAGAAUAUUGGACGAAAGACCGAGAGUCUGAUGCAGCAAUUCUGUGUGCAAGAUGAAGUUUUUCGGGAAGAAAAGUGCUUUCAGUUGGGAAGAAAAAAAUGACGGUACCAACAGAAGAAGUGACGGCUAAAUACGUG
rnacentral:rRNA from 1 species